rnacentral:lncRNA from 1 species
GACCCUCUGCCUGGCAACCACCCCGUCUGAGAAGUGAGGAGCCCCUCCGCCCGGCAGCUGCCCCGUCUGAGAAGUAAGGAGCCUCUCCGCCCGGCAGCCACCCCAUCUGGGAAGUGAGGAGCGUCUCCGCCCGGCAGCCACCCCGUCCGGGAGGGAGGUGGGGGGGGGUCAGCCCCCCGCCCGGCCAGCCGCCCCAUCCGGGAGGGAGGUGGGGGGUCAGCCCCCCGCCCGGCCAGCCGCCCCAUCCGGGAGGGAGGUGGGGGGUCAGCCCCCCCGCCCGGCCAGCCACCCCGUCCGGGAGGGAGGUGGGGGGGUCAGCCCCCCGCCCGGCCAGCCGCCCCGUCCGGGAGGGAGGUGGGGGGGGGUCAGCCCCCCCGCCCAGCCAGCCGCCCUGUCCGGGAGGUGAGGGGCGCCUCUGCCCGGCCGCCCCUACUGGGAAGUGAGGAGCCCCUCUGCCCGGCCAGCCGCCCCGUCCGGGAGGGAGGUGGGGGGGUCGGCCCCCCGCCCGGCCAGCCGGCCCGUCCGGGAGGGAGGUGGGGGGGUUGGCCCCCCGCCCGGCCAGCCGCCCCGUCCGGGAGGGAGGUGGGGGGGUCGGCCCCCCGCCCGGCCAGCCGCCCCGUCCGGGAGGGAGGUGGGGGGGUCGGCCCCCCGCCCGGCCAGCCGCCCCGUCCGGGAGGGAGGUGGGGGGGGUCGGCCCCCCUGCCCGGCCAGCCGCCCCGUCCGGGAGGUGAGGGGCGCCUCUGCCUGGCCGCCCCUACUGGGAAGUGAGGAGCCCCUCUGCCCGGCCAGCCGCCCCGUCCGGGAGGGAGGUGGGGGGGUCAGCCCCCCGCCCGGCCAGCCGCCCCGUCCGGGAGGGAGGUUGGGGGGUCAGCCCCCCGCCCGGCCAGCCGCCCCGUCCGGGAGGGAGGUGGGGGGGGUCAGCCCCCCUGCCCGGCC